rnacentral:rRNA from 1 species
CCUACGGAGGCAGCAGUGGGGAAUUUUGGACAAUGGGGGCAACCCUGAUCCAGCCCAUUCCGCGUGAGUGAAGAAGGCCUUCGGGUUGUAAAGCUCUUUCGCGAGGGAAGAAAACUUAUGAUCUAAUAAAUCAUGAGGUUGACGGUACCUUGAUAAGAAGCACCGGCUAACUACGUGCCAGCAGCCGCGGUAAUACGUAGGGUGCGAGCGUUAAUCGGAAUUACUGGGCGUAAAGCGUGCGCAGGGCGGUUUUGUAAGUCGGAUGUGAAAUCCCCGGGCUCAACCUGGGAACUGCGUUCGAAACUGCAAGGCUAGAGUGUGUCAGAGGGGGGUAGAAUUCCACGUGUAGCAGUGAAAUGCGUAGAGAUGUGGAGGAAUACCAAUGGCGAAGGCAGCCCCCUGGGAUAACACUGACGCUCAUGCACGAAAGCGUGGGGAGCAAACAGGAUUAGAUACCCUGGUAGUCCACGCCCUAAACGAUGUCAACUAGUUGUUGGUAGAGUAAAAUCUAUGAGUAACGUAGCUAACGCGUGAAGUUGAACCCGCCGUGGGAGGUACGGUACGCGAAGAAGUUAAAACUAACAAAUAGUAAGUUAGUACGGCGUGAGACGUAGACCGAACGGACGACGACGAGGGAGGAGGG